AAGGGGUGUAUUUAUUAGAUUAAAAACCAAUGCCCUUCGGGGCUCACUGGUGAUUCAUAAUAACUUCUCGAAUCGCAUGGCCUUGCGCCGGCGAUGGUUCAUUCAAAUUUCUUCCCUAUCAACUUUCGAUGCUAGAGUAGUGUUCUAGCAUGGUUACAACGGGUAACGGAGGGUUAGGGCUCGACCCCGGAGAAGGAGCCUGAGAAACGGCUACUACAUCCAAGGAAGGCAGCAGGCGCGCAAAUUACCCAAUCCCGACACGGGGAGGUAGUGACGAUAAAUACUGAUACAGGGCUCUUUUGGGUCUUGUAAUUGGAAUGAGUACAAUUUAAAUCCCUUAACGAGGAACAAUUGGAGGGCAAGUCUGGUGCCAGCAGCCGCGGUAAUUCCAGCUCCAAUAGCGUAUAUUAAAGUUGUUGUGGUUAAAAAGCUCGUAGUAGAACCUUGGGCCUGGCUGGCCGGUCCGCCUCACCGCGUGCACUGGUCCGGCCGGGCCUUUCCCUCUGCGGAACCGCAUGCCCUUCACUGGGUGUGCUGGGGAAGCAGGACUUUUACUUUGAAAAAAUUAGAGUGCUCCAGGCAGGCCUAUGCUCGAAUACAUUAGCAUGGAAUAAUAGAAUAGGACGCGUGGUUCUAUUUUGUUGGUUUCUAGGACCGCCGUAAUGAUUAAUAGGGACAGUCGGGGGCAUCAGUAUUCAAUUGUCAGAGGUGAAAUUCUUGGAUUUAUUGAAGACUAACUACUGCGAAAGCAUUUGCCAAGGAUGUUUUCAUUUAUCAGGAACGAAAGUUAGGGGAUCGAAGACGAUCAGAUACCGUCGUAGUCUUAACCAUAAACUAUGCCGACUAGGGAUCGGACGAUGUUAUUUUUUGACUCGUUCGGCACCUUACGAGAAAUCAAAGUGCUUGGGCUCCAGGGGGAGUAUGGUCGCAAGGCUGAAACUUAAAGAAAUUGACGGAAGGGCACCACCAGGGGUGGAGCCUGCGGCUUAAUUUGACUCAACACGGGGAAACUCACCAGGUCCAGACACAAUGAGGAUUGACAGAUUGAGAGCUCUUUCUUGAUUUUGUGGGUGGUGGUGCAUGGCCGUUCUUAGUUGGUGGAGUGAUUUGUCUGCUUAAUUGCGAUAACGAACGAGACCUUGACCUGCUAAAUAGCCCGUAUUGCUUUGGCAGUACGCCGGCUUCUUAGAGGGACUAUCGGCU
rnacentral:rRNA from 1 species